rnacentral:rRNA from 1 species
AUUGAACGUUGGCGGCAUGCCUAACACAUGCAAGUCGAACGAUGGCUUCGGCCAUAGUGGCGCACGGGUGAGUAACACGUGGGAAUCUACCUGACAGUGGGGAAUAACAGAGGGAAACUUCUGCUAAUACCGCAUACGCCCCUUCGGGGGGAAAGAUUUAUCGCUGACAGAUGAGCCCGCGUCCGAUUAGGUAGUUGGUGGGGUAAAGGCCUACCAAGCCUUCGAUCGGUAGCUGGUCUGAGAGGAUGAUCAGCCACACUGGGACUGAGACACGGCCCAGACUCCUACGGGAGGCAGCAGUGGGGAAUAUUGGACAAUGGGCGCAAGCCUGAUCCAGCAAUGCCGCGUGAAUGAUGAAGGCCUUAGGGUUGUAAAGUUCUUUCGGGUGGGACGAUGAUGACGGUACCACCAGAAGAAGCCCCGGCUAACUUCGUGCCAGCAGCCGCAGUAA